GCUGGGAUUACAGGCGUGAGCCACCGCGCCCAGCCAGCUUUAAUGUUUUUAAAAAGCCCCUUUUAAAUUUCCAGUUAAACUUUCAAAUACUUUGCUUAAUUCUCUAAGAGAAAUGGAUACAUCAGGAAGAUGUACCAUAUUCUGUCCUGGGCUUCCCAUCUCCAGCCCGAGUGGAGAUGCCACCUGCUUUAAGAACCAAAGGUCUAAAGGUACCAAAGGAGGUCUCUGUGGUUGUGUAAUUAAAUCCAAGGACCUGGGCACCAGGAAAGAAAAUGCUGAGCACGGCAUGAGCAAGGGGGUUUUGCAAGGCAAGCUGGAGUCAUUUGGGGUUGCUUUGGGAGGUGAAGGAAGGCACUAGAAGAUCUGAGGAAGAGGUAGCCAAAGUUCUGAAUAUAUAAAAGUUGCAGCACCCCCAUCUCCACUGUGGCUUUGGCUGCCAGCCAGAGCUGCCGUUUUAUUGACAAUUUAUUGGAGUGCUUCUCCCAUUGAGCUUUCAUGAUGGUAUUCAUGUUGCACUCUGCUUGAGUCUCAGAUAAAAGGUCCUUCAUCUACACUCCCCAAGACCAUUAUCACUGCUUAUUAUAAUGCCAUUCAGAUGAAAAGCCCCACAGCACUACAAAGAAGAUCUAGACUUAUAAUAAAAUCAAUACUUUCGUUUCCUUACAAGACAAUUAAAGGGGGAGAAAUAGGCGGGUCUACAGACUGUUACUCCUGAGACUCUCCAGAGGAAGGACGCAAGGCUAGGUGGCAGCUGUCUGUGGGGAGCUUCUGUCUCAUUUCAUCUGGGCUUGGGAUGAAUGGAAAGGCUCGUGCAUCUGAUUGAUGAGCACUAGCUUGUAGAUGACAGCAUAGGCCUUCUGCUUCCUAACUCUUGUCAGCCUGCUCCAAGCACUGGCUUUCCAGCAAGCAGCUAUUUCCUCAGCCCUUUCUUCUUCCCCAGUCAGGCAGGCUUUAACCUAAGCCCAAACUAAAUGCCAGCAGUAUUCUCCAAGCUCUUGAUUCCUAUCUACUGAUUGGCUGGCAUAGCCUCAUGGAGACUGUAGUCAAAGAAGAGUGUUUAGGCUCUAAGUAUGAGAAGAUUCAAGGAUUGUAUUGACAAGAGAGCAAACAUAGAAUUUUUGUACAAUGCAGAGAGAUCAGAGAAAUGGAAAGAGACGGAGACCAGGAGAGACAACAAGAAAAAGAAGAGACAAGGAAAAAAGUUGGGAGGAAUCCUCAGCAUCAUGCAGCAAAUCAGACAAAGUUAGCCCAGCUUCCGAGGGGCUAACCUGGAAAAUGCAAAGCUGAGAAGAAGCCAAGACAAAAUAAGCCAAUAGACUGAGGAGUGGCCCACCGUGCUGAGUGUCCUGCAAGGCGUAAAUGGAGUUGACUCAUAAAAGAUCUAUGGACACAGGACUACAGCUUCUGAGGCCUCUGAAAGAAGUGACAUUGUUCCAAGCUGUCCAGACCGAAGCAUCACCUCUGUGAUCAAGCUUGAGAUUGUUUGUGGCUGAGAAAUAUACUGCCAUCUACACACAGGCAGUGUAAAGUCUAAAAGGAGCGACACUGCCUGUUCCUGAAGGAAUAAGAAGUGGGAAGAGAAGAAAGGAGAAAUGAAGCAGGGAGAGUCAGUCCUGCACUGGCUGCAGGUCAUGGCCAGUCAGCAGCCACACAGAAGAUGUAGGAGAGAACAAGAAACCCCUGUUAUCUUCUGGUUACUCCUAGAUAUUCCUUUUUCUACCUGCUGGUUGCCCUGCAGAAUGUGAAAUGGCACAAGAAUUCAAGAUGGGGACCACAGACAGACUAGCUGUAAUUUCCCUGUGCUCCUCUGAAGAUAAACCGCUGCCUGCACCAGCCUAGCAGCUUCCAGAAGCUGUGGAUGAGAAGCAAUCUCCCACCAAAAGCCAGAGCUCACCUGCAAAGCUUCAAUCCCAAGCAGAAGGAAGCCUCCGUUUUUUCCCCCCAGAUGAGCCUGAAUUCACCUCCAGAAAGUCUCAAUGCAUCACACCAAGGGUCACACACCUGCUCAUGGUUCUUCUUGAGGCAAAGCAGCUCCUCCUUCAGGGACUCCAGCUGGGCCUCCAGGUCACACUUGGCGAGGGUGAGGUUGUCUAGCACCCUGCGCAGGCCACAGAUGUCAGCCUCCACCAGCUGUUGCAGCGAGCGCUCUCUCUCGUACCUGUAACAGGGAAAGUGCAGGAGUGACAGUUAGAGGGCAGGAAGGGGCACCAGGACAUGACUCCCAGCUCGCAGCUGUAAGUCCACUGGCCUGCCCUUUGCCAUCUAAUUGUGAGUUGGCUUAUCCUGUGUAGUGUGCUCAAAGCCCAGAAAGCAACAGGAUGUUCCCCACUCAGUCAAUACUAAGCACCUGAGAUGAACCAAGGGGAGCAGCUGGUACUGAGGAUACUGUGAUGGACACACAGCCAGCACCUGCCUUUACACACAAUGGCCCAAAAGGGAGGUGGCAAAGUAACCAGGCAUUUGCAACACAGUGCAAUCACUGCAGGCCCCUCUCUACAAGCCCCAUACCCAAAGGGACCCUGGAUUCCCUAUUAGAGUAAAAGCCACAUUGCCAGCAUGAGAGGAAGGAAAUGGCUUUCUUUAGCUCUAGAAGAGUGAGACUUGCACAGUGCCCCGAAGAAAGAUGAUAAAACACAAUGCCCUUCCAGCACCCAGGGUAGACCCUCCUCAGGUGGUGUCAACCCUUUGACUUUCACAUGUUUUCAUCUUAGGCUAUGGAGCAUGAUUUCUGCUAUGAAUUAUCAGCACUCACAAAUUAAUCAAGCUGCAGCACAGAAACAUAUCCUUAUUAAGGCAACAGUUUCACAGGAAAUUGCUUCAAGAAAGGAAAAUUUGGUACAAAAUUUAAGGCCAAGUCCCAGCUCUGCCACUCGGUACCCACAUGGCUUCUGGCAAGUCACACCAGCACCCCAAGCCUCAGGGUCCCCACCUGUGGAGGAGAUUCUAUCCCUGCCCGCCUGCUUCACAAGUUGCUUACCAGGUGGAUGAUGCAUUCUAGCACAUGUUGUAAACUGUUAAUGCUAAACCACUGGAGAGCGGAUAGUUUUUCAGGAUCUUGAGCUUAAUGCCCUUUGUUCUCUUCUGCUAUAACUACUGGGUUGGGGUCUGGGUCAAUGACAUCCGAUGCCACAUGAGACAGAAGCAGCCAACUUGGCAUUGUCCCAUCCCCAUCCAACCCCAACUCUCACUUGGCUCCUUCCCAUCCCUGUCCAACCCCAACUCACUUGGUCCUGAAGUCAUCUGCAGCCAAUUUGGCAUUGUCUAUUUGCACAACCAGCCUAUUGUUCUCCGAUUUGGUGCACAGAAUCUGGGGUAAGAAAGUAGGCUCAGUAAGUGACUUACUGAUCCCAGAGACACCUAUAGCCUCAGGUGAGAGGAAGUUUUAUUGGCUGAAGUUGAACCUACAGCAUCCGCCUGGACAACACAAACUCCCAAACGUGCAAGAGAUGCUUUUGUGGUGUGGGAAGGAAGAUGUGCAAGAGACUUCUUGGAAAAGGAUGAAGACAUAGAGUCAAAGGAACCAGGAGAUGGAAGACAGUAGCAAACUGAACAUAUAACAAAGACUUGCUUUCAUUUUGCCAGAUAUGAUGCUUAGCCCAAUAUAAAUAAGAAGAUCUGGCCGGACGCAGUGGCUCAUGCCUGUAAUCCCCGCACUUUGGGAGACCAAGGCAGAUGGAUCACCUGAGGUCAGGAGUUCAAGACCAGCCUGGGCAACAUGGUGAAACACCAUCUCUACUAAAAAUAUAAAAGUUAGCUAGGAGUGGUGGCGCACACUUGUAAUCCCAGCUACUCAGGAAGCUGAGACAUGAGAAUCACUUGAACCUGGGAGGCAGAGUUUGCAGUGAGCUGAGAUUGCACCACUGCACUCCAGCCUGGGUGACAGAGCGAGACUUUGUCUCAAAAAAAAAAAAAAAAAAACUAGGCCACAGAACAGAGGACUGGCUAUGAAUGUUUUAGAUAAAGUAGGAUCUGUUCUAAAGAAGAUCUUUCCUCUGGUUGUCCAACCUCCCCACAGGUCUUCUCUGAAUCUAGCCAGGUUUCUGUAACCCCUAUUUUGACAUUCCUUGUCUUCUUGUCUCCAAAACUAAGAUGUAGGCUCUUCAGAAGCUUUAACUGGAUAAUCAAAGGUGACAAUAGAUAUGCAUAAGAGGUUGAUGCUGUUGUGUGGAUAGACACUGCCUUGGCAAGGAUGUUAGGAAAUAUUCCUUUUGCCCUGUUUACUGCACCAGAAGUUUCAGUAUACUGCAACUUUCAUAAACUCAGCACGGUUUUUGCAUGGUUUUCAUGAAAAUAGCAUGAUUUUUGUGACUACGAUUUAGGAAUUUUAUGUGCUGAAGUUAAGUAAGCAUGAACUCAGAAUCCUAGAGUGAUAAAUUCUACAUCUCAUCCUUUACAAAUUCCCAUUCACCUUCACUCAAGAGAUUCUCUUCCCACAUUAAAAGAAAAAAAAAAUCCACUGCUGACCCAGGGUCAGUAAUCUUUUUUUGUAAAGGGUCAGAUAGUAAAUACUUUAGGCUUUGCAGACCCUACAGUCUCCAUUACAAUGACUGAACUCUGCCACUGUAGUACAAAAGCAGCUGCAGACAACAUACAAAUGCAUGAGCAUGGCCAUGAACCAAUAAAACUUUAUUUGCAAAAGCAGGUGGUGGGCCGGAUUUGGCCGACAGGCAGUAAGCAGAUUCCUGACCCCUGAUCUGGUGCACCGCAAACCUCACCUUCUGCUGGAGCUCCUGGAUGGUGCAG
rnacentral:lncRNA from 1 species